GAUGAACGCUGGCGGCGUGCCUAAUACAUGCAAGUCGAGCGAACAGACGAGGAGCUUGCUCCUCUGACGUUAGCGGCGGACGGGUGAGUAACACGUGGAUAACCUACCUAUAAGACUGGGAUAACUUCGGGAAACCGGAGCUAAUACCGGAUAAUAUAUUGAACCGCAUGGUUCAAUAGUGAAAGACGGUUUUGCUGUCACUUAUAGAUGGAUCCGCGCCGCAUUAGCUAGUUGGUAAGGUAACGGCUUACCAAGGCAACGAUGGGUAGCCGACCUGAGAGGGUGAUAGGCCACACUGGAACUGAGACACGGUCAAGACUACUACGGGAGGCAGCAGUAGGGAAUCUGCCGCAAUAGGCGGAAGCAUGACGGAGCAACGCCGCGUGAGUGAUGAGGGUCUUCGGAUCGUAAAACUCUGUUAUUAGGGAAGAACAAAUGUGUAAGUAACUAUGCACGUCUUGACGGUACCUAAUCAGAAAGCCACGGCUAACUACGUG
rnacentral:rRNA from 1 species